GUCCCUGUAGCGCAAUGAAUAGUGUGUGUGUGCGUUGGACUUCUAAUCCAAAGGUUGUGGGCUCAUAUCCCACCAGGGAUG